rnacentral:piRNA from 1 species
UAGUCUCAGUAAUCGCCAGGACGGUUC